rnacentral:rRNA from 1 species
AACGUAGGUGGCGAGCGUUAUCCGGAAUUACUGGGCGUAAAGGGUGCGUAGGUGGUUUGGUAAGUAACAUGUGAAAGUCCUGAGCUUAACUUGGGGAUUGCAUGUUAAACUGCGAAGCUAGAGUGUUGUAGAGGAGAGCGGAAUUUCCGGUGUAGUGGUGAAAUGCGUAGAUAUCGGAAGGAACAUCAGUGGCGAAGGCGGCUCUCUGGACAACAACUGACACUGAGGCACGAAAGCGUGGGGAGCAAACAGG